rnacentral:lncRNA from 1 species
GGAAGUGAUGGCGUCAUUUUGAAAUCCAAUGGCCAAGUUGAUGACAACACAUCACCCUCCCAAACCCCCACGAUGAAAUGGCUUAUAUAGACAGACCAACAAGCCAACUCUUCACUUCACUGAGCAAGUGUGUCUUGCAGUUGUCUUUGGAGGUGAGUAUUUUCAGCUGUAGAAGCCAUGUGUCUGUUGCAGAUAUAUUCAUCUGAUUGGUCUUGUAACCAUGUUUUUGCUCACUGAAGAUGGUGAUUGUUGGGAAAUAACACCUUGAACCAGAUUUUAAAUUUGAGUUUAAAUUUGUAGUUAAAUUUAAGAAUUGUAAGUUUUGGAGUCAAGUUGAGAUUUAAAUGAAGUUCAGUGUUUAACAACUUCUCUUCAAACCCUCUGUGUUUUAAAGGGAGUAAGUAGAAAUGUCUCUCUCUUAAUUAGGGCUGUACUUUUAAAGUCUUUCUUCCUUUCUAGAGAUAUAACAGAGAACAUGGCACGCAAACUCUUUCUAAUCCUCGCGCUCUUUCUCCUGGUGGGGAGUCUGACUGCGCAGUUGUCAGAUGAAGAUGGCAUCAUCCUGUCUGAACUGUACAACAGCCCAGCAGAGGAGCUGGGAGCUGCUGAGGCACUGGCGCGCGUCAAGCGUGGCUUUCUCGGCCGGCUCUUUAAAAAAGUAAAGAAAAUCUUUCGUGGUCGUGGUGGUGGUGAGGCUGGUGAUGCUAAGCAGGAAGCCCCGCAAGAGUAACCCCCAUCAUGCAUUCAUUGCCACCCCUGUGAGCCAACAGAGAGGCAUCAAGGCAUCGAGGCAGCUCCACUCUUUCAGAGAGAGAAUCUGAAUGCAACGAAGCUCUCCUGUUUGUAAACAAAUAAAGAUGUUCUGCAGCAUUUACCUCUCUGUGCU